rnacentral:lncRNA from 1 species
AUGAUCCUUGCUGUGCCAUCUGUAACUGAAGUGAAAAAAAUGUGGCAAGUGGAGAUAGAGUUCCUUCACUGCUUGGGCACAUCACCCUUUCUGCAUCAUCUAAAAGUUGUCAUUCUGUGCUGUCUGACAGCACCAUCUGGUUCAGAAUAUAAUAUCUCAGAUCUGGCCAUUUCUAGAGCUGGAUGUGCUGCCACCAUAUAUAACGUUGAUGGAGUACAUGCUUUUGUACAUAGUGAGUGAGGAGAAAAAUAAUAAUCAAACAGGUAAGCAAAAAUAGAAGCAGUUAAAUGUAAAAAAUCUGAAUAACUGCAGUGUCU